rnacentral:rRNA from 1 species
CUUUCCGUAGGGGUUGCCUGCGGAAGGAUCAUUAACAUAAUAUUCUUACACACUGUUUUUUUACAACAAAACAAAUCUAUCUAAAAACAAUUCUUUACAAGAAAUUCUUAAAACUUUCAACAACGGAUCUCUUGGUUCUCGCAUCGAUGAAGAACGCAGCGAAAUGCGAUACGUAAUACGAAUCGCAGCUCUCGGAAUCAUCGAAUCUUUGAACGCACAUUGCACCAUUGGGUAUUCCCAAUGGUAUGCUUGUUUGAGCGAAUACUUCCCUAAUCCUCACGGAUUGUAUUGUGUUUGCACGAAAAUAAUGACGACAGUACUCUACAAAACGGUACCGUCAGUACACUCAUUUUUUUUCCUCAAAUCAAGUAGGACUACCCGCUGAACUUAAGCAUAUCAAA